UGUCCUUUUAAAGGUAGUCCAGUGAGGCUAACAAGGGAGCGGCUGAAACAUGCAAAGACCCGCUCUAGGUUUAGAGUGGGUCUUUUUGU
rfam:Lactobacillus selangorensis strain DSM 13344 Scaffold5, whole genome shotgun sequence.